rnacentral:rRNA from 1 species
AUUGAACGCUGGCGGCAGGCCUAACACAUGCAAGUCGAACGAGUGGCGGACGGGUGAGUAAUGUCUGGGAACCUGCCUGAUGGAGGGGGAUAACUACUGGAAACGGUAGCUAAUACCGCAUCCCAUCGGCUGUGCCCCGAUGGGAUUAGCUAGUAGGUGGGGUAAAGGCUCACCUAGGCGACGAUCCCUAGCUGGUCUGAGAGGAUGACCAGCGACACUGGAACUGGGACACGGUCCAUACGCCUACGGGAGGCAGCAGGGGGGAAUAUUGCACAAUGGGCGCAAGCAUGAGGCAGCCAUGCCGCGUGUAUGAAGAAGGCCUUCGGGUUGGAAAGUACUUUCAGCGGGGAGGCGUUACCCGCAGAAGAAGCACCGGCUAACUCCGUGCCAGCAGCCGCGGUAAUUC